UAUUGACAUUUUUAUGUGUCAAUGAAUAAAUAGAUCAUUAUUCAUAAUUUCUAAAUUUACAUGUAUCCCUAGCUAUUUUUGUCCAGUAUAUUUG